AAAUUUAUUGUAGAUACAUGGAACCAUAAAAACAGGAGGGAAAUAGAACUCAACACUGGAGUACAUAUGUAAAGGAUUGAAUACCUGCCAUCGGAAUGGGUAGAUAAGGUGACAAAUGGCCUCUGAUACAGUGAUGCUAUAGUUAGAAGUGAAUAUUGGCCAAAAGAAAAUACAGACUAAACAAUCAUUUUACAAUUGAGUUGAAUAUACAGUCUAAAUGAAAAAUUACCAAACAACUGAGAUAAAAUUGAGGGAGAACUAUGAUCAGUUGUAAUAUUUACUACAUUUGGAAACUAGUCAUCAACACUAAUUCACCCCAAAAAUAAUCAUGCAGGAAAUAUUGAUAGAGUAAGUACUCCAAAUCUCAGUGUAUCAGACACUUUUAUGUAAAGUAACUAUCAAAUAAGUGGUUAAAUAACAAAAAGAAGUGAGUAGUGUAUAAUACAAAAGUGAAUCUUAUCAUCAAUAUGAAUCAUAGAGAAAAUACAGGUGAAAGCAUGCUUGUUCCCAAAAAAAUAAAAAGCAUUGAAAACUCACCUAGUGUUAACGAAGAUAAUGAAUUGAGCUCUGUGUUCGAUUGAUUUCUAGGGUUUCAAUUGAUUUCUAGGGUUUCAAUUAAAUUUUAGGAUUUCUGAGUUCUAGGUUCAAUCAGUUUUCAUUUUAGGGUUCAAAGAGGGGAACGAUUGAGAUAAGAAGGUUUUAAGGGUUCAAGCGACGAUUUUGACGGAGAGAAAGAAGGUUUUUGUUCGAUAGAGAGAUGGUGGUUGAUGAGUUCGACGGAGAGAAAAAUGGAGGCUGGUUUAGGUGAACACGUUUGGGGAUCGAAGAAGGUAAAGAAGGAGAUUCACGAAAUAAUGAGUUCGAUGAGGGAAAAGGUAAAGUUCGAAGAAGGUGAGAUAGGCGAGAUAUUGAGUU
rnacentral:lncRNA from 1 species